rnacentral:lncRNA from 1 species
AGACCGAAAAUAUUUGUAAAUUAAUUUUUCAGCCCAAAAGGACUUCCUUAACAACUUUCAAAAAGUUACAGGGACCAAAUCGUGAUUUGAAAAACUAUCUUCUACCUUGAGAAAGAGCCCUAGCCACCACCACCCAUUCAACCAGAGCCAACCGCCGUUCCAAUCAACAGCGCAACCCGUUGCCAGCACAACCCGUCGCCAGAAAUCGCGCAACACUUGCACUUCCUACAAGCAAGUUAAGCCAUCUCCAAGAGCUACAUUGUCGGCGUAAUCACAAGGAGCAGCGUUUCGGUCCUCACCAAAUUGCAGCAAACUGUUGCCAUGACGACGAGGCUUUCAGCCACAACACAUGGUGUCGCGCUUCCCUGUCAAGCAAAGCCCAACGCGUCAACUAGGUCACACCAUCGGGACGACCUGUUGCAUUCUGUUCAUGGCGAUUUGCAAAACGAUGCCCCGAUCGUGAUCUCUUCCACACGACGUCGCAACUGCUGGCUCCUCUAGGCCAUCCGCGCUUCAUCGGCGAGACCGACGAUAGGGACGCGACUAAGGAAACGUAUUGCAGGCAAGCUAUUGACAGCGCCGUUCAUCGGGCAUGGGUGAUGCAGGUGGUAGCCGCGGCUGCAUGUUCUUCAAGAACACGAUUUGCAGCAACCAAUAUAUAU